UACGUAGGGUGCAAGCGUUGUCCGGAAUUAUUGGGCGUAAAGAGCUCGUAGGCGGUCUGUCGCGUCUGCUGUGAAAACUCAGGGCUUAACCCCUGAGCUUGCAGUGGGUACGGGCAGACUAGAGUGCGGUAGGGGGAGACUGGAAUUCCUGGUGUAGCGGUGAAAUGCGCAGAUAUCAGGAGGAACACCGGUGGCGAAGGCGGGUCUCUGGGCCGUAACUGACGCUGAGGAGCGAAAGCAUGGGGAGCGAACAGG
rnacentral:rRNA from 1 species